AUCUACAGCCAUGCCACCCUGAACACGCCUGAUCUCGUCAGAUCUCAGAAGCUAAGCAGGGUCGAGCCUGGUUAGUACUUGGAUGGAGACAACCUAGGAAGACCAGGUGCUGUAGGUU
rfam:Pteropus alecto contig109459, whole genome shotgun sequence.